UACGUAGGGAGCAAGCGUUGUCCGGAAUCAUUGGGCGUAAAGCGCGCGUAGGCGGCCCUGUAAGUCCGUUGUGAAAGUCAAAGGCUCAACCUUUGAAAGCCGAUGGAUACUGCAGGGCUAGAGUACGGAAGGGGCGAGUGGAAUUCCUGGUGUAGCGGUGGAAUGCGCAGAUAUCAGGAGGAACACCAAUAGCGAAGGCAGCUCGCUGGACGUUACUGACGCUAAGGCGCGAAAGCGUGGGAGCGAACAGG
rnacentral:rRNA from 1 species